UCUGUCCUGCCGGCAAACCAAGCUGAAACCACGCCUGGGAUCACCAGGGAAAAACAGUGGUUCAACCCCAGAACCAGGGAAUUCACCUUGAGUGGCCACAC